GGGCUGUAAGUAUCGAUGGCUGAUACACUGCUGACAAAGCAGAGAGGCGGGUUCGACUCCCGCACCGCCCGCCA
rnacentral:tRNA from 2 species